UGUCCGUCUCCACACAGUAGCUCCACGGGGCGCUGGCUUUGUCCCAGGCUGGGUCUCUGUGCCUAGAACGGUGCUUGGUGUGGUAGGCACGGUGUUCUCUGUCGGAAAAUGUAACCAGCUAUUUGAAGAGUACCUGGAAAAUCAACAUUUAAUGGAUUUAUGAAAAAAGAGGAGAAAAUGAAGAUCUAAAUAGGCAAAUAAGGAAAUGAGGUCACCAACCAGGAUCAGGAUGAGGAAGGAGGUGAUGGAGAUUUGAGGUGAGAGGAGACAUCCAGGAGAGUGACGGAGUGAAUGGGCAAAGCAUGUGAUGCCAUCUCCCCUUCAGCUGUUGUCCACAUUUCUCAAUUCCCAUUUACAGCAAAACUCCCCCAAAGAGUGAUUAUACUCCCUGCCUUCAGUUCUACUUCCUGCUCAUCUUGAAACCACUCUAAUCAAGUAUUCACUCAAAAUGCCUCUGAAACUAUUGUCAAGGUCACUGGUGAAUUACAUGUUAUUAAAUUUAACAGUCAAUUUUCAGUCCUUAACUUUCUCGACUUAUCAGUGGCAUUUGAUAGUGGAUUGCUCCCUUCCCUGUGAAAAAAUUUCUUUGCUUGUCUUCUGUUUUGCGGCUGCUUGCCUACUUCCUCCUUCUCUGUCUACGGUACCAAUUCUUCAUCCUCUCUCUGACUUAAAUAUUGGAGAACUCAGGUUUCAUUCCCUGGAGCUUGUCUCUAACCACACUCGCUCUGUUGGUGGUCUCAUCCACAUAUAUGUGGAAGGCUUCCAAAUUUAUAUCUCCAUCACAGACCUUUCCCCUGAACUCCAAGUGCAUAGACCCAACUGCUCACUUGACAUCUGCACUUGAAUGUCUAACAGGCUUCUCUAACCAAACUUCUAAUCUUUCCUCCAAAAAACUCACUCCACUCCUGAUUCCUCCCCAUUGCAGGAAAUGAUAACUCUACGCUCUUAGUUGCUCAGGCUAAAAAUUUGGGAGUCAUCCUUGCCUCUUCCCUUUCUCUUAUAUUACACAUUCAACUCUGUAAGCAAAUCCUGUUGUUUCUACCUUCAAGAUAGAGUCAAUGUCUGAUGGUCUCUUACCACCUUGUUGCUUCCAUUCUGGUCUAAGUUGCUGUCAUCUCCCACCUGGAUGGCUGCAGCAGCCCUGUAACCAGUGUCCCUGUGACGUCAGCAGUCUUUUCUCCCAAGCAGCAGCCACAGGGAGGUCAGGGAGGACUUCCUGAAGAAGUAAUUCUCGAACCAAGAUAGGGAAGAAGAGGAGGAGAAGCUGAAUACGCCAAGAGGAGAGAAGAUCCUUCCAGGCAAAGGGAAAUACACCUUCCUGUGGGUGGAAGCGUGGUGAGAGCAAGGGACUAAGGAAGGCCUCAUUCCCUUGUAUCGGACACCUCCCUGAUGGCUGACAUGAGGGCCACCAGGAACGCAGGCUCAGUUCAACACACUGAUGACCGUGAAGUUACUGUGUUAGUCUUUCUGGUCCCAAGUUCAGAAAUUCCAGGGAAAGACUUUGAUGAACCCUCUUGGGUCAGGGGACUAGUUGGAGGGGUGGAGCAGCAUGCCUGGGCCAGCUUGGGUCACUUCCUCACCCUGAGACAAAUCCCUGUGGCCAGAGAGGUGAGAUCUCUAAAAAGAUGGCAGCUACCUCCAAAUCCCCCUUCAAACGUGGAGAGGCACAUUUCCCCCGGAGAACAUGAGGAUGCUCCACUGACUAGACAAGGCACUAGAUGCCCACUGUAGUGACUGAGCAGGAGGGGCUUUUUGUGGUCCAAGAAUUAAGAGGUUGGAGACAUAGUGUUCGGAGAAGCAAGAUGACACCACGUUGGAACUUUGGGAAGAAAAAACCUUAGGAAAAACUUCCUGUAUCAGGAAGUGGCAAGUAAACUGUGAGUAGUGAUAUUUUAGUCAGUUUUAAGUUGAAUAAAUGCCCUGUGCGGUUCCCAGGGAAAGCUGUUGCCUGUGAAAGCUUUGUGUUAAUGGGGCCUGAUCCAAUUAACAAGACGGGCCGUGUCCUCUUCAAGGAGAAGAAGUUUAAUAGAAGAUAGAAACCUGCAGGAGCAGUUGUUCCAUGAUGGAUGGUGACUGCCAACUGAACUGGGAGUUAUAGUUUUUCAGAAAGAAAAAAAGAAGGAAGGUGAUAGGUGAGCAUCAGGAAAAUGCUAGCACCAUUUUCCUUUCCGAUCUCAGCAUCAUCUCGCACUGGUGCUCAGUCCUUCCUAUUUGUCUCUCUACAUCCAUUUUACACCAUCAUCCCAGUUUGUGGAGAGACUGACCUGAAUGAACUGUGUUCAUGAGCAUCCUUGUGUGCUACCCAUGAGAUGACCAGCAGCGUGGGGAGGAGGUGAGGCAGGGUGUUUAGUCCGGGGCUCCCUGUUGGUUCACCCUGGUCCUGUAGAACGACAGGGCAGCAUCUGCUCUCUCCAGGGGUAGUGACAGCUUUCUGCUAUUGUUGGUCCUGAGAUCCUCCUCCAUUCCUUACUUCUCCAAACUCUGCUCACUCUUUUUGUGAACAAUCCCCUUGUUAAACUCUAUUCAAUUUCCCAGUCUGAGUGCACAAUUUAUUUCCUGCUGGGACUCAGGCUGAUAUAAGGACGUGGGGUAUUCUAACUGAACAAUUUUAGGGAGCUAAAGAAGAUAGGGGUGAUUGCAGACUGUUUUGUGGAGUUUGUGUAGAGGCACAAAGACAAAUCUGAGGAGACUGAAGUUAUACCGCAAAACGCCCCACAGAGAACACGCACUCACUGAAACCAGAUGUCUGCAACAGUCAGAGAAGGAAGCAGCCUGAUGCCAAAUGGUCCACAUCCAGGUGAUCAUCACAAAGGUAGAAACAUGAAUUAGAAUACAUUUUGGAGAAGUUUGCAAACGGAUGAUGCCCUUUCUGCAUUAUUGAACUCUAGCCAGUCAAAGGUUCACAGAAAGGUGAUGAUAAUAAUGCACUUUUUCUCUAUUUCUUUGGCGUGUACACCCUCCAGCUUUAAUGUCUCCUUUGUUGUAACAUUUAUUUGGCAUGUCCUGUGAUCCUUGCAUGAUAUUGAUCUAUAAAAUUGGAUGAACAAACAGGCCACCAGUUCACCUGUAUCGAAAUAGCUCUAAAGGGGAAGACAUCUGGGUGGAUAGAUGAGACGGCACUUACGCAGCCAGAGGAACCCAAAAUAAACAGAAGGAAAAAAAAUAAACCUGAGAUGCCGCAGAAUUCGGGAAGCAAUUUAUAUACUAACUCUAUGACGGUGGAGGAACUUUCAGGAGAAAAAGUCUGACAUUAACCUACGAUGGAGACAGCAGGCUGCACUCAGUGAUCGGUAGGCACAGUUUUUGAAAUGAGUGUGCGUUGCACUUGCACUUGCAUUUGUGAGUGUGCACAAUGCUCAUAGAUAGAAGAGAAAGAGCAAGUUAUGGUUCCUUGUUAUGAUCUUAGCUUAGUGCAUCACCUGACAAAGGGCUUUGCAUAUUGAAAAUGUAAGCAUUAGUUGAACAAAUGAACAGAAAUGUCUGCUGAAAAAUGAGCACAAACCACCAGCAUGUUAAUAAAUGAACACUUUUGUUCUCAGUGUAAUGUUCUGCUUGUUUAACUGAUUGUUGUUUUGAUUGCAAUCUCUUCACUGACGAUAGUAUUGAUAAACCUAUCAAAGAGAUAUAUUGAGUGUCUGUUUACUGAAAGUAAAUUGCUGGGAUUUCAAACACCUUUUGGAUCUACUCCUAAAGGAGUUAUAAAACAUCUCUUAAUUUGUUAAUCAUUAAUAUUUGGCCCCUGUGACUUGUGUGUGUAAAUAUACACAGUAGAUGCUCAUUUUGUCAAGUUGUUUCUGACUCAGAUGCUGUGUUUCCUUGGCCACUUCUAACCUGAGCAAAAGUGUGGGUGACAGAGUAGUGAAAAUCCAGAGUCUCCAUCACGAGUCUCCAUCACAUGAACAAGUAGAAGAUGUGUCCCCACAUGGAGGCUUACUGCCAUCGUCUUUAUGUAUUUAUGAAUUUGCAUAGUAACGAAUGCCCUUUUAGGUUGAAUUAUUAGAAUUUUAUCAAUGCCUCGAUCGUUACUUCAAAAACUAAUUUUGUGCCAUCUGUGUUCAUUGGAUGAGAGGAAAAAGGAGAAAAUAUAUUUCAUAUGUCAGACUCCUACAUAAAUGUAGGUGCAGCUUUGACUUGAGAUGCAACACUGGGCUGCUAUGGAAUUUUUACAUGCUGUGUAAUAAAAGUCUGCAAUCUGAUACCUCACACAUCUCCAUUAACCUCCGACAUUGAAUUUGUUCGAUUCUGAUUGUUUUUUCAUUGAUACAAGUGUUUGGUGAGGAAUUAGGAGCUUUCCUUCACAAAUGUUUUGUUUGAUUUACAGCAUUUUGGGCUGUGAUAUUCCUGGUUAGAAUACUUUACUGUUGAAUUCUUUAAAAAAAAAAAUCAGUGGAACUCCCAGAGGAUAAUGUGCAUCAGUUCUAUGUUAAAUUCUUUGUUCAGACUUAUUAUUUCAGCCUCCAAAAUGUGUUUUCACUAACAUAAUAGCGUGAUAAAUGCAAAAAGUGUGUGCGCAGCUUUAAACAUUUGGAAAUGCUUCUAAAGGUCGCUUUUCUACUGGGCAGCUUACUUUUUCUAUAAAGCUGUUUCUGUUCCAUACCCUACUGUCCCAAGGUUUCCAAAAGUUGAACAUGAACUCUGGAGGAAUUCUCCUUUGGACUUAAAAACUGGAGUUGCCUGGCAGACAGUUUUUAUUCUUGUCUGACUGAGUUCCCCAGCUUUCUCCCUUCUUGUGUCCUUGGACAUCAGUUUCACUUGUUUUCCUUUGAAUGGGUCAGAGUGGUUUCUCAACUUACAGUACAUAAACCUCCCAGCUAAGUGUCAUGUUCGUCCUGGACUGUCCAUGCUGCUCCACUCUCCUGUUUAACCUUCCUCAUCACCUCCUCUCCUCCAGCACUUAGUAGACAUGAACCAUCAAAAUUCAAUGCCACCACCAAAACAGCCUACAUCACGAAGACAGUCUACCCCUUUACACCCGUAUCUGCUCUUCCCGAGCUGGCAGCCAGUAGCCACAUGUGGCUGUUCAGCACCUGCCGUGGAGCUAGUCCAAAUUGAGAUGGGCUGUAAGUGUGAAGCAUGUACCAGAUUUCCAAGACUUAGUGCAAAUAAAAAGGAUGUAAACAUCUUAUUAAUAAUUUUUACAUUGAUUACAUGUUGAAAUGGUGAUAUUUUAAGCUUGUUGGUUUAAAUAUAAUGUUUCAUUAAGAAAUUAAAAU
ensembl:lncRNA